rnacentral:lncRNA from 1 species
CAUUACUGAAAAAAGAGGGUACUGCCACAGGUACCCUCUUCAUCAGAGAGAGAUACCUGAAAGUCUUCUGCUGAAGCAGCCUGGGUAGACAUCCUUGGUCUUCAGCAAGCUCUGCCCAAGCUGGAAGGUAAGGUUAGAUCUAAGGGUGCAUAAAUGGGGUGUGGUGCUGUUCUGAGGACCCUGCCACUGACACAAGGGUGAGGCAGAGUGCCCACGGACACAGGCAGUGGUCACACAUAGAGGGGUCUGAGAUCCUGCAUCCCAAGUGCUGGCUGCCUGAGAUCUCCUGAUGCUUAUCCAUGUUUCUCCUGUGAAGUGCCUUCUCUGUACACCAGCGAGGGUUCAUGGGGAAGUUUUGCUGUCUGGGGCCCCACAGGUCAGGAUUCAGGCCUAGGAGAAGCAGAUAUGGAAGCUCAAAAUAGAGAAAACUAGUCAGAGUUGCCUGGUAACAGCACUGGCCUUCUCCUGGGUAGAAGGAUACAAGAAACAGCUAAUGGCCACCUGCUGAGAGUCUGACAGCGAUGGCAGCCCAGGUCCAGGCCGGUGUACCAGAUGCCCCCCGCGUCUCACGUCCUUGCCCCAGUGUGGCCUGUGUCAACAUGCACACGGCAUUGGGGUGGAUCAGUGGUCAGUGUUCAGGAACAGAACACAGAACAGCAGCAGACACUCAGGUGAGUGACAGGGAGCAGUGGUGCACACAAGGCGUGUGACCCAGGGACAACGCGUGGGUGGUCAGUGCAGAGUGCCUGACGUGGAGCAUGCGCCCUCACACAGCCCGAGGCUGCCCAGUUGUCUGGGGCUCUCCCUUCAGUGUUUCUUCAUGCUAUAAUACUGUCACCCUGUGCUCAGUAGGUCACA